rnacentral:rRNA from 1 species
UACGGAGGAUGCGAGCGUUAUCCGGAUUUAUUGGGUUUAAAGGGUGCGUAGGCGGGCUUUUAAGUCAGCGGUAAAAAUUCGGGGCUCAACCCCGUCCGGCCGUUGAAACUGGGGGCCUUGAGUGGGCGAGAAGAAGGCGGAAUGCGUGGUGUAGCGGUGAAAUGCAUAGAUAUCACGCAGAACCCCGAUUGCGAAGGCAGCCUUCCGGCGCCCUACUGACGCUGAGGCACGAAAGUGCGGGGAUCGAAUAGG